AAGCCAGGAGGUGGAAACGAGUUGGUGAGAGCAUUCCAGACAGCGAGGACAGCCAGAGAAAAUGACAGGAGCCUAGAGGUAGAAAGAGUGUUUGUGGAACAGCCAGGAGGCCAGCGUCACUGGAUCCAAGAGUACUGUGGGGAAGUAAGGUGUGAGAAGACUGGAAAGCAGGCAGGUUUGUGGAUUCCCAAGGUUUAGAGCUCCUGGGUCCCUGAUCAGUCCAGCAGCAGGAGGUUCUGCAUCAGAAAGGAUCUCACCCAUAGGAGGAGGAGCUCAGCCAUUGGCCUGGUUUACCAGACGACAUGAACCUGAAGGGAGUGUUUGGACAGUGCAGAGCUGAGGCUUCCCCCAAAUUAAACCCCAUGCAGACUGUGCAUGUGAAUGUGACCAGUGGAAAGAAUGCUGGAUCCUCUCCGUCUCAGAGGAAUUGUCAACCCACAGGACAAAAUCAGAGAUCUCUGAAGCUCAAAGGCUAUCUUAGCCCCAUCAAGGUAUAGAGGAGAACACUGAGGCCCAGAAGGAGUAAAUGAUUUGCCAAAAGAUCACCAGGUGGUAGAUCUGAGCCCAGGUCGUCUGCCUGCAAACCCACGGCUCGUUCCACUAGACGUUGGAGAGCAGCAUUGAUGUAAGAAAUAUUCAGUCAGUUCAGUGUUAUAAAGGCUGCUGGUUACUGCUGAAGAAUUCAAUCCUAAACCUUCCUAUUCAUCAUCUUAUUUCCCUGUGACUAAUUUAAUGAUCCUCAUACAAGCCUGUGAGGAAGAAGAAAGGAGAGAAGGAAGGAAGGAAGGAAAGGGAAAGAAGGAAGGGAGGAAGGA